rnacentral:tRNA from 1 species
GCGGAAGUGGCGGAAUUGGUAGACGCGCUGGAUUUAGGUUCCAGUAUCUUCGGAUGUGAGAGUUCAAGUCUCUUUCCGCACCA